GACGAACGCUGGCGGCGUGCUUAACACAUGCAAGUCGAACGGAAAGGCCCUGCUUUUGUGGGGUGCUCGAGUGGCGAACGGGUGAGUAACACGUGAGUAACCUGCCCUUGACUUUGGGAUAACUUCAGGAAACUGGGGCUAAUACCGGAUAGGAGCUCCUGCUGCAUGGUGGGGGUUGGAAAGUUUCGGCGGUGGGGGAUGGACUCGCGGCUUAUCAGCUUGUUGGUGGGGUAGUGGCUUACCAAGGCUUUGACGGGUAGCCGGCCGGAGAGGGUGACGGGCAACCUGGGGAUGAAGAAAGGGCGCGGCGUCGGCGGGGGGCGACAAGCGGGGAUAUUGAAAAAGUGGCGAGAAGCCCACUGCAACAGCGCCGCGGGCGGGAUGCCCGCUUCAGGGUCAUAACCGCUUUUCGCCUGGCACAAAGGGAGAUUGCCGGAAGGGGGUAAAGAAGCCAGGGCUAACUCCGCG
rnacentral:rRNA from 1 species